UACAGAGGGUGCGAGCGUUAAUCGGAAUUACUGGGCGUAAAGCGCACGCAGGCGGUCAUGUAAGUCGGGUGUGAAAUCCCCGGGCUCAACCUGGGAACUGCAUUCGAGACUGCAUGGCUAGAGUACGGUAGAGGAGGGCGGAAUUCCCGGUGUAGCGGUGAAAUGCGUAGAUAUCGGGAGGAACAUCAGUGGCGAAGGCGGCCCUCUGGACCAGUACUGACGCUCAGGUGCGAAAGCGUGGGGAGCAAACAGG
rnacentral:rRNA from 1 species